rnacentral:misc_RNA from 1 species
GAUGAAGAACGCAGCGAAAUGCGAUAAGUAAUGUGAAUUGCAGAAUUCAGUGAAUCAUCGAAUCUUUGAACGCACCUUGCGCCCUUUGGCUAUUCUGAAGGGCAUGCCUGUUUGAGUAUCGUGAACACCUCAACUCUCAUGGUCUGCCAUGAUGAGCUUGGACUUUGGGGGUCUUGCUGGCCUACUGUCAGCUCCUCUCAAAUGAAUCAGCUUACCAGUGUUUGGUGGCACCACCGGUGUGAUAACUAUCUACGCUUGUGGUUUUCUGCCAGGUAACCUCCAGUGAUGGAGGUUCGCUGGAGCUCACAAAUGUCUCUCCUCAGCGAGGACAGCUUUUUGAACGUUUGAUCUCAAAUCAGGUAGGACUACCCGCUGAACUUAAGCAUAUCAAUAAGCGGAGGA